UACGAAGGGGGCUAGCGUUGUUCGGAUUUACUGGGCGUAAAGCGCACGUAGGCGGUUUGUUAAGUCAGGGGUGAAAUCCCGGAGCUCAACUCCGGAACUGCCUUUGAUACUGGCAAGCUAGAGUCCGGAAGAGGUAAGUGGAACUCCUAGUGUAGAGGUGGAAUUCGUAGAUAUUAGGAAGAACACCAGUGGCGAAGGCGGCUUACUGGUCCGGAACUGACGCUGAGGUGCGAAAGCGUGGGGAGCAACAGG
rnacentral:rRNA from 1 species